UGGUGCAUGGUUGUCGUCAGCUCGUGUCGUGAGAUGUUGGGUUAAGUCCCGCAACGAGCGCAACCCUAUUGUUAGUUGCCAUCAUUCAGUUGGGCACUCUAGCGAGACUGCCGGUAAUAAACCGGAGGAAGGUGGGGAUGACGUCAAAUCAUCAUGCCCCUUAUGACCUGGGCUACACACGUGCUACAAUGGUUGGUACAACGAGUUGCGAGUCGGUGACGGCGAGCUAAUCUCUUAAAGCCAAUCUCAGUUCGGAUUGUAGGCUGCAACUCGCCUACAUGAAGUCGGAAUCGCUAGUAAUCGCGGAUCAGCACGCCGCCGGUGAACUACGUUCCUGGGCCUU
rnacentral:rRNA from 1 species